AGCAUUUAGUGGUACUUAAACAAUGUUCACAUUUAAUCAUCAUUACAAACAAACUCAUAGUAAAGGUUCACCAAGGGCCUUAAUUAGGAAUAACAUUAACAAUAUCUUUUAACUAUGCUGCAAAUUAUUGUAUCUUUAUCUUAAAUGUAUCAAUUUCCUCAAAAUAACUGUUUUUGCACCAUGGUUUGCCCAUAGGGUGUACUCAACGGGAAGCCCUCUAAGUGGUCUCAUAAGCUAACCUCUUCCCGAGUGCCUGUCUACCUCGCCAGUGAGGAACAACUGUCCUGUUUGCCGAUCUGAGAGGAGUGCUGCAGAGGACACCAACACAACUGAGCUUCACAGAUGAAGUGCAGAGGCCAUCAUAUAUGCCCUGGCUGUCCUCCGGAAUUUCUCAUUGCAGGAGGCUGAGCAGGUCUUCCUUUCUGGUCCGGAUUAUCAUUACAGGAGUUGAAGCCUUUAUGUCCAUGCAGCAACUGAUAGAAAAGGGGGUAUUUUUUAUGAUGUUGUAUUAUGUGUUAUUGCA